rnacentral:piRNA from 1 species
GGAAAGAGGAAGACCGCCAGAAAACAGU